rnacentral:lncRNA from 1 species
UAAGGGGAUUCAAAGCCACCAACGGCCAAUCCCGAUAAACGAUAAAAAUGGCCAAAAUAGGCCCGUACAAAUCUCUCGGCCACAAUCGGCCAUAAACAUGAAACAGAAAGACGAGCAUCUCUCUUUCGAUAACUAUUCCACCUCUCAUAAUCCAAAGUCAAAGUCCCCGGACAACGAAACACCGAACGCAUCCGCGGGACGAUCCACUUCCUCGCC